rnacentral:lncRNA from 1 species
AAAAAUCUUACCAGUGAAUAAAUUUGGGUAUUUUUCUCAUAGCAUCCAAGGGUUCCCAUGUAGCUUCUUCAACCCCGUGUCAAUGCCAUAAUACUUUCACUAACACAAUUCUCUUAUUUAUUAGCUCUUUUAUCUCACAAGCUCAAAUUUGAAUAAGUUCUUUAGCAUAUGACAUAUCAGACUAAUUUUCAACCUCGGUCGGGGAAAUGACAUGUUAAGGGUCAGAUCGGUAUCUUCGAAGCAUCGACACAUGAAACACAUUAUGUAUUUUCUCUAACUCAGACGGUAAAGAUAGUCGAUAUGCCACUGGC